AUAAAAUUAAUUUUACUUAAACACUGCCUAUAUAUAUACACAUAUAUGGCAUAUACAGGUAGAUUUUUUUUUGGCAUCUUUUUAUUUCAGUCCUUAUCGUGUUUCAGAGUUGUCCUCUUAUAUCAGGUAGCUUCAAGAGGCUACACACGAGCCACAUGUUGCAUAGACAGCCAAGGUGGGUAGUGUGCAGUGUGGAUGGUGCAGGAAUUACUGGGGAUUCGACACACUUUUUUGGUUCAUGCAGGCUUCAUGAAGCCUAGACUCUGUAUCAGGUCUUGGAAGUGGGCUUGAUGAGGAUUUUAAUAUGCACUGUUUCUCAUUUCAUCUGAACUGAACUCUCUGGGGUCCGAUGUCCGUGGAGGAAACUGGAUUCAUUUGCCUUAAGCAAAACAUCAUAUUCUUCCUGCUUGGAUAGUGAAACCUGGAGGGAAAGAAGGGCUAACAGGAGGCCAAGGGUGCUUAAAAGUUGCACUUCGAUGAUGCUAUUGAAUUAAAUCCAUCUCUGGGCACCUUAAGCUUCCAGCUGAACUGCAUCAUUUUCUUGCCAGGUCCGAUGAACUCAGAGAACAGACUGGAGUUGGCCACGGCUGGGAAGUGUGAAGCCCUGCCCAGCAUGUUCUGAGCCGCCUGGAAGAGUACAGCCUGCAGAAGUGGAGACAUCCUGCACAGAGGAGAGCAAGGCCUUAGAAUGUAAUGAAAUAGAUUCCUGAUGACACCAAUUGACCCAGCCAUGCCAGAAGCCAGAAGACUUAUGUUCCAUGGACUAU